rnacentral:rRNA from 1 species
AUGGCGGAGGAACCGUCCGCCAAGCUUCAUCAUGCCGAGACGUCAAACAAGAGGAGCAACCUCGUCGACAUUAACGUCCCCGGCGAGAAGCGCGAGUACACCAGAACGCUCAAAGGGGUUGAGCUCCAUGGCAAGGAGACGCUGGAGAUAGUCUGCACCAGCGAACCAGACAAGGCCGACGAGAUGAUGAGCAGGCUCAGGAUGAAGGGCGGCGGCUUGUAUCCGAGCUUCAUCGGAGUUGAUGUGGAGCCCAAGCGCCUCAAAGACUUCCUACGGGAGGAGAAAUUGUACACAUUUGUUGGUUUCAGCAUUGGAGGUGACAAACGGAUGCUGCAGGAGUCUGGUUUGGAAAUCAACCCCAACAACUUCAUCGACAUGCAACGCAAGUGGAAAGAUCCAAAGACCAGAAAAUACUACGACUCCUUGGCCGAUGUUGCAGGCGGCGUCAUCCACCCAUUCUACGAAGGCAUGAAGAAGAAGAUGAACAGGGCAGACCACAAACUGUGGGGGAAUAGCCCGCUGCCAGACAACCUCAUCACGUACGCAGGAAUAGAUGCGUACGCAAUGUACAAGUCAUGGAAGACAAUCCACAACAUCGUGACAGGUUGGGAUAUUUCAAAAGGGCAGGAGGCUGACCCCUACUACCACUGCAACUUCGCGGAUGAAGAUGCAUGA